rnacentral:miRNA from 1 species
CCCUGUGGAAGACUAGUGAUUUUGUUGUUGUAUGGCUCAUCCCACCACAACAAGUCACAGUCUGCCCU